UCUUCUAUAAAUUGAGUUAAAGUUUUUAGUUUAACUCAUUCGAAAAUUUUCACUCUCUCAAAUGCAUAGUUCAUGCCUAGAAAAAAUCCUACUAUUUCUCUAUCUACCUCUCGAUGUUCAAAGUCUCUAGAUUUCCAGAUCAUCCGUUCUCAAAAUGCUUGUACGGAUUGUAUUCCAAGUCUACUCAAAGAAGGUACUAUUUAAAAAGUACUUUAUUAAAUUCUUGUUAUUAUACUUUUGAAUUCAUUUUCUCCUACAAAUAUUUUGGUUAUUUACUAUGAUUAUUUCAUUUCGAAUUUGUAUAACAAUUAAUUCCACAAGAUUUGAGAUGUUUGUUAAAAUAAUUUUUUGUUUAAACAAUCAAGCUAGUCAUAUUAUUCAAGCAUGAUUAGAAGUAUUUCUUAUUCCGCAUUUAUAUAUAUAUAUAUAUAUAUAUAUAUAUAUAUAUAUAUAUGUAUAUAUAUAUAUAUGUGUGUGUGUGUGUGUGUAUAUAUAUAUAUAUAUAUAUAUAUAUAUAUAUAUAUAUAUAUAUAUAUAUAUAUAUAUAUAUAUAUAUAUAGAGAGAGAGAGAGAGAGAGAGAGAGAAAAGACAGGAAGGAUCAUUUGAGAAAUCAUAGUUUCCAGAGAACGUGAGAACUGAACAAUAGCCGUUAGAUCAAAAUAAUAAAAGGUUAAGAUGUAUGAUGAUAUUUUUGUAAAUAAUUAAAAAAAAUCGGACACGGUGGGUAUCUUAUGAAAUUAGACAAGGGGCAUUUUAGGGAUAAAUUAAUUAAUAUAUUUCCCCAAAUUAAAUCUCUUAGAUUCACAUCAAAUGCAACUUCUCUCUAAUUCUCCACUUCAUCUUGCUUCUUUGACGACGGAUUUAUGAUCUCCGAUGAUGUACCUGAUUUUUCUCUGAUGGCUUUGAUCUUUCUCCAAUGGCUUUAAUAUAUUGCGCAUCCGCCUUUAAUGUAACCAAGAAAGAAAAAUCGAAGAUCGUUUUAUCAGAUACAUGGCUAUCAUCAGACUCCUUCCACUCCGAUCAAUCACACCAGACUACUCUAUAGGUUUUCACUAUUCUUCCUCUGGUCUUCGCUCCUUCAUCACCGGAGAUCUCUCUCCUGCACAUCGAUCCGAAUUUCAUAGAACUUUAAUCCAAAUCGAUCCUUGAUGAUGGUCGUAGCUUUCAACUGUUCCAUAUGAUCUACCUUUUUCUUGACGACAUAUUACUAGCAUCAGAUUGCAAGUAAAUCCUACUACAUGCGAAGAGAUCUUCGGAAAAUUAGGAUUUGGAAGAAUUUUGGGAAAAUAUUGAAGAGGUGAAAAGUGAUAAAAUUGAAGAAAAUAUAGAAAUCUGAACACGAAGACAUGAAAGCGAUUUUAAAUUUUGUAGCAUUUUCAGUUUUUUAUAUUUUAUUUUCUAUCGAAUAAAAUACUUGUACUAUUAUGCUUAUAGAUUAGUAAGUAAAAAUGUGUUUUUUUAUUAUGUAGUUACGAAUAUUCUAAUAUAUGAAAUAUGUAUACAUGCACUUGAAAAAAUAUAAAUAUAUGCUCCUAAAACAUUAAUUU